GCCUACAGCCAUACCACCCUGAAAGCGCCCGAUCUCGUCUGAUCUCGGAAGCUAAGCAGGGACGGGCUUGGUUUGUACCUGGAUGGGAGACCGCCUGGGAAUACCAGGUGUUGUAGGCU
rnacentral:rRNA from 1 species